rnacentral:rRNA from 1 species
GAUGAACGCUGGCGGCGUGCCUAAUACAUGCAAGUCGAGCGAACAGACGAGGAGCUUGCUCCUUUGACGUUAGCGGCGGACGGGUGAGUAACACGUGGGUAACCUACCUAUAAGACUGGGAUAACUUCGGGAAACCGGAGCUAAUACCGGAUAAUAUUUCGAACCGCAUGGUUCGAUAGUGAAAGAUGGCUUUGCUAUCACUUAUAGAUGGACCUGCGCCGUAUUAGCUAGUUGGUAAGGUAACGGCUUACCAAGGCAACGAUACGUAGCCGACCUGAGAGGGUGAUCGGCCACACUGGAACUGAGACACGGUCCAGACUCCUACGGGAGGCAGCAGUAGGGAAUCUUCCGCAAUGGGCGAAAGCCUGACGGAGCAACGCCGCGUGAGUGAUGAAGGUCUUCGGAUCGUAAAACUCUGUUAUUAGGGAAGAACAAACGUGUAAGUAACUGUGCACGUCUUGACGGUACCUAAUCAGAAAGCCACGGCUAACUACGCG